rnacentral:rRNA from 1 species
UACGUAGGGGGCAAGCGUUGUCCGGAAUCAUUGGGCGUAAAGCGCGUGUAGGCGGUCCGGUAAGUCGGCUGUGAAAGCCCCGGGCUCAACCUGGGAAUUGCAUUUGAGACUGCAUAGCUAGGGUGCGGAAGGGGGAAGCGGAAUUUCCGGUGUAGCGGUGAAAUGCGCAGAUAUCAGGAGGAACACCAAUGGCGAAGGCAGCUCGCUGGGACGUGACUGACGCUGAGACGCGAAAGCGUGGGGAGCAAACAGG